AUGAGAGACGGGAUCAUAGCAGCGGUAGCCCUUAGUGUUAGGUGGGUAGCCGAGAAAGAUGCAGGCGACCGAGCGGGGUGCAAGCUUAUGAGGCACAGUAGCGGCGAUGCUAGGGUAGCAAAGGCAGCCGAAGAUGCGAAGCUCGUCAUAAGAACGACUGCUUCGUCCACGGCUGCUUUGUCCAGGGCUGCGACGCCUCGCUGCUGCUGGACGACGCGCCGGGCCUGCGCGGCAAGAAGAACGCCACGCCCAACAAGAACUCCGCCAGGGGGUUCGAGGUCAUCGACGCCGUCAAGGCGGCCGUCGAGGGGUGUUGUCCCGGCGUCGUCUCUUGCGCCGACAUCCUGGCCAUCGCGGCCAAGGAGAGCGUCGCUUUCCUGGGUGGGCCGAGCUGGGAGGUGA
rnacentral:rRNA from 1 species